rnacentral:rRNA from 1 species
AGCGAACGCUGGCGGCAUGCCUAACACAUGCAAGUCGAACGAGACCUUCGGGUCUAGUGGCGCACGGGUGCGUAACGCGUGGGAACCUGCCCUUAGGUUCGGAAUAACUCCUCGAAAGGGGUGCUAAUACCGGAUAAUGUCUUCGGACCAAAGAUUUAUCGCCUUUGGAUGGGCCCGCGUUGGAUUAGCUAGUUGGUAGGGUAAAAGCCUACCAAGGCGACGAUCCAUAGCUGGUCUGAGAGGAUGAUCAGCCACACUGGGACUGAGACACGGUCCAGACUCCUACGGGAGGCAGCAGUGGGGAAUAUUGGACAAUGGGCGAAAGCCUGAUCCAGCAAGGCCGCGUGAGUGAUGAAGGCCUUAGGGUUGUAAAGCUCUUUUACCCGGGAUGAUAAUGACAGUACCGGGAGAAUAAGCUCCGGCUAACUCCGU